rnacentral:rRNA from 1 species
UACGGAGGGGGCUAGCGUUGUUCGGAAUUACUGGGCGUAAAGCGCACGUAGGCGGCUUUGCAAGUUAGAGGUGAAAGCCCGGGGCUCAACCCCGGAAUAGCCUUUGAGACUGCAUCGCUAGAAUUGUGGAGAGGUAAGUGGAAUUCCGAGUGUAGAGGUGAAAUUCGUAGAUAUUCGGAAGAACACCAGUGGCGAAGGCGACUUACUGGACACAUAUUGACGCUGAGGUGCGAAAGCGUGGGGAGCAAACAGG